GACGAACGCUGGCGGCGUGCUUAACACAUGCAAGUCGAACGCUGACGCUUGGUGCUUGCACUGGGUGGAUGAGUGGCGAACGGGUGAGUAAUACGUGAGUAACCUGCCCUUGACUCUGGGAUAAGCCUGGGAAACUGGGUCUAAUACUGGAUACGACAUGCCACUGCAUGGUGGUGUGUGGAAAGGGUUUUAGUGGUUUUGGAUGGGCUCACGGCCUAUCAGCUUGUUGGUGGGGUAAUGGCCUACCAAGGCGACGACGGGUAGCCGGCCUGAGAGGGUGACCGGCCACACUGGGACUGAGACACGGCCCAGACUCCUACGGGAGGCAGCAGUGGGGAAUAUUGCACAAUGGGCGGAAGCCUGAUGCAGCGACGCCGCGUGAGGGAUGACGGCCUUCGGGUUGUAAACCUCUUUCAGCACGGAAGAAGCGAGAGUGACGGUACGUGCAGAAGAAGCGCCGGCUAACUACGUG
rnacentral:rRNA from 1 species